UACGUAGGGGGCAAGCGUUGUCCGGAAUCAUUGGGCGUAAAGAGCGUGUAGGCGGCCCGGUAAGUCCGCUGUGAAAGUCCAGGGCUCAACCCUGGGAUGCCGGUGGAUACUGUCGGGCUCGAGUCCGGAAGAGGAGUGUGGAAUUCCUGGUGUAGCGGUGAAAUGCGCAGAUAUCAGGAGGAACACCUGUGGUGUAGACAGCUUACUGGACCACUUCUGACGCUGAGACACGAAAGCGUGGGUAGCAAACAGG
rnacentral:rRNA from 1 species